rnacentral:rRNA from 1 species
GAACUGAAGAGUUUGAUCCUGGCUCAGAUUGAACGCUGGCGGCAUGCUUUACACAUGCAAGUCGAACGGCAGCACGGGCUUCGGCCUGGUGGCGAGUGGCGAACGGGUGA